AAGCACUGCCACGAAAUCUUGCAGUGUCAGUUUUACUGGAGAGAAAGGCUAUGCUUACAGGCUUGCCGCACGAAAUGACGCCACAUGAUAUGUGUUGUGUGCAUCAUUUCAGAAGGCUGACAAUCACAUACGUGCUCGCACUGCCGCAAGAAAAGUGGAGUAUCGAUUUAAAAAGACUUAUGCACUACACUUGUCGCACCGAAAAGAUGAUAUGCAAGUAAAGAAACGCAAAACAA